UCUUCUUGGCACAUAGCUGUGUUAUUUUUCUGUUUUGCUGCUGGAUUUGGAGCUGUGCUUCUGUUCUGCUGUCUGAUCUACUACAGAUCAAAAAACACUGUCACCAGCAGCAUAAUCUGGAAUCUUCAGGUUUCUCUGGUCUUUUGUCCAAACAUCUGUAUGUUCUUUGCCUUCAUGCUUUGGGGCUUUACUGAAGGAUCUCUGCAUGAGACUGUCCCCUGCUGUGCUCUUUAUAUUCUGAGGCCUGUUAUGAUGAUUUGGGCUUUGCGCUAUUUGAAGUAUCUUCAAGACAAUCAUAAAUCAUGGAUCAGGUUUUUCAGAAUAACACAUGAACUUGCUGUUCUUACAGUCAUUGUUUAUUCAGG